CCUCCUUUUAAGGGAGACCAAGGGAUGUUAUCCCAGGUCAAGAAAGAGGGAUUUGAAAGCUUUCAAACUAAGUCUUGGGGUUGUGAAAUGGGCUAUUAGCUCAGGUGGUUAGAGCGCACCCCUGAUAAGGGUGAGGUCCCUGGUUCAAGUCCAGGAUGGCCCAGGUAAAAAGAAGAGACGAAGAAAGAACAGCACUGCUGAUUUAUCAGCAAAUGCUGGGCUGAGUAGUCCAGUGAGCACCUUGAAAACUGCAUAAGAAGAGAAAGAAAAAAAGUCAAGCUACAAAGGGCUAACGGUGGAUACCUAGGCACACAGAG
rnacentral:tRNA from 1 species